CAUAAUCAUUAGUCUUUUAAUUGAAGGCUGGUAUGAAUGGUUGGACGAGAUAUUGACUGUUUCAUUUAAAAUUAUUGUAGAAUUUUAUUUUUUAGUUAAAAAGCUAAAAUUUUUUUAAAAGACGAGAAGACCCUAUAAAUCUUUAUACAUUAUUUAUAUUAAUUAUAUAGAUUUUUUAAAUUGUUAUAAAAAAAUGUAUUUUAUUGGGGUGAUAUUAAAAUUUAUAAAACUUUUAAUUUAUUUAAAACAUAAAUUAGUGAAUUAAUGAUCCAUUAUUAAUGAUUAAAAAUUUAAGUUACUUUAGGGAUAACAGCGUAAUUUUUUUGGAGAGUUCAUAUCGAUAAAAAAGAUU
rnacentral:rRNA from 1 species